rnacentral:rRNA from 1 species
AAGCCCUACGGGACGCAGCAGUAGGGAGUCUUCCACAAUGGGCGAAAGCCUGAUGGAGCAACGCCGCGUGGGUGAAGAAGGUCUUCGGAUCGUAAAACCCUGUUGUUAGAGAAGAAAGUGCGUGAGAGUAACUGUUUACGUUUCGACGGUAUCCAACCAGAAAGCCACGGCUAACUACGUGCCAGCAGCCGCGGUAAUACGUAGGUGGCAAGCGUUAUCCGGAUUUAUUGGGCGUAAAGGGAACGCAGGCGGUCUUUUAAGACUGAUGAGAACGCCGUCGGCUUAAGCGGAGU